rnacentral:tRNA from 1 species
GUCCGCAUAGUUCAGCUGGUUCAGAAUACCGAGCUUUCACCUCGGAGACACGAGUUCGAUCCUCGUUGCGGAUACCA